rnacentral:rRNA from 1 species
GAUGAACGCUGGCGGCGUGCCUAAUACAUGCAAGUCGAGCGAACAGACGAGGAGCUUGCUCCUCUGACGUUAGCGGCGGACGGGUGAGUAACACGUGGAUAACCUACCUAUAAGACUGGGAUAACUUCGGGAAACCGGAGCUAAUACCGGAUAACAUGUUGAACCGCAUGGUUCAACAGUGAAAGACGGUCUUGCUGUCACUUAUAGAUGGAUCCGCGCCGCAUUAGCUAGUUGGUAAGGUAACGGCUUACCAAGGCAACGAUGCGUAGCCGACCUGAGAGGGUGAUGGGCCACACUGGAACUGAGACACGGUCCAGACUCCUACGGGAGGCAGCAGUAGGGAAUCUUCCGCAAUGGGCGAAAGCCUGACGGAGCAACGCCGCGUGAGUGAAGAAGGUCUUCGGAUCGUAAAACUCUGUUAUUAGGGAAGAACAAAUGUGUAAGUAACUAUGCACGUCUUGACGGUACCUAAUCAGAAAGCCACGGCUAACUACGUG